UUUCCCCUUCAGCUGAUCUGGCCAUCUCAGUUCUCCAGUCUCCAAGAAAGCACCAGGAACACAUGGCCCCUGCAUUCUCCCCAGGCCAAGAUGUGAGCAUCAAGAUGCAACCAGGAGCAGCUGAGAGUUCCUGCCACAUGCCUUUUCUACACCACCAUGGACUCUAGCCCUCUGAAACUGAACAUUAUUAUAUGUCAAAUCCUUCUGGACUUUCUUCUGGAGUAAUUCAUGAGUCUUCCCUGUCUUUCCAUGUCCACAGCAUCACUUUCUGUAGGCA